rnacentral:rRNA from 1 species
UACAGAGGGUGCAAGCGUUAAUCGGAAUUACUGGGCGUAAAGCGUGCGUAGACGGUUAUGUAAGUCAGGUGUGAAAGCCCCGGGCUCAACCUGGGAAUGGCAUUUGAGACUGCAUAGCUAGGGUGCGGAAGAGGGAAGCGGAAUUUCCGGUGUAGCGGUGAAAUGCGUAGAUAUCGGAAGGAACAUCAGUGGCGAAGGCGGCUCUCUGGGCCUUUCCUGACGCUGAGACGCGAAAGCGUGGGGAGCGAACCGG